GCGCAGACAGUGUAGGAGUUAGCAUGGUUGCCUUCCAAGCAGUCGAUCCGGGUUCGACCGGUCUACGCA
rfam:Trichuris trichiura, WGS project CBXK01000000 data, contig: TTRE_1489